UUCUGACCGUAAACGAUGCCAACCAGCGAUCCGUCGGUGGUAAUUACGCCCCGACGGGGAGCUUCCCGGAAACGAAAGUGUUCCGGUUCCGGGGGAAGUAUGGUUGCAAAGCUGAAACUUAAAGGAAUUGACGGAAGGGCACCACCAGGAGUGGAGCCUGCGGCUUAAUUUGACUCAACACGGGAAAACUCACCCGGCCCGGACACUGUAAGGAUUGACAGAUCGAGAGCUCUUUCUUGAUUCGGUGGUUGGUGGUGCAUGGCCGUUCUUAGUUGGUGGAGCGAUUUGUCUGGUUUAUUCCGAUAACGAACGAGACUCCGGCCUACUAAAUAGUGACUGGAUCCCUGGUCCAGUGCACUUCUUAGAGGGACAAGCGGCGUUCAGCCGCAUGAAAUGGAGCAAUAACAGGUCUGUGAUGCCCUUAGAUGUCCGGGGCUGCACGCGCGCUACACUGGAGGAGGCAGCGUGCCUUUACCAUUGCCGAAAGGUAUUGGUAAACCGAUGAAAAUCCUCCGUGAUCGGGAUCGGGAAUUGCAAUUAUUUCCCUCGAACGAGGAAUUCCCAGUAAGUGUGGGUCAUCAGCUCGCGCUG
rnacentral:rRNA from 1 species